AACAAACGCUGGCGGCGUGCUUAACACAUGCAAGUCGAACGGAGAUUAUUAAUGAAGCUUGCGAUUAUAAUCUUAGUGGCGGACGGGUGAGUAACGCGUGGGCAACCUACCCAUAAGCGGGGGAUAACAGUUGGAAACGACUGCUAAUACCGCAUAAGCUAUUGAGGUCGCAUGACCUAAAUAGUAAAGGUGGCGAAAGCUAUCACUUAUGGAUGGGCCCGCGUCUGAUUAGCUAGUUGGUGGGAUAGCAGCCUACCAAGGCAACGAUCAGUAGCCGGCCUGAGAGGGUGGACGGCCACACUGGGACUGAGACACGGCCCAGACUCCUACGGGAGGCAGCAGUGGGGAAUAUUGCGCAAUGGGGGAAACCCUGACGCAGCGACGCCGCGUGAGCGAAGAAGGCCUUAGGGUCGUAAAGCUCUGUUGUAAGGGACGAAUGUUUAUCUGGCGAACAGUCAGAUAAAGUGACGGUACCUUACCAGCAAGCCCCGGCUAACUACGUG
rnacentral:rRNA from 1 species